UGUCUGGGAGACUAAUUUCUUCUCUAAAAUUUACUGUUAAAAUCCACAGGUUUAGUUGGGUGCCAGUUUGUCUUCACUUGGGUCUCCAAGCAUGGCCUCAGGUCCCCUUCAGUGGAGCCCUUGUUUAGUCAUUGUGGACCUGCUUUAAAGUAAAGAGUGCUCUGUUUGCCAAUCAAGUCCUGCACCAUCAACUAGAAUACUGUUCCAUCCCAGCAGUAGCUGCCUGCAUCCUGUGUUUGCUACAUCCUGAUGACCAAGACUUACUGUGAGAAAGUUGUGUUAGACCCUCUUGGAUUGCGCACAUUGGGCCUGUGCUAAUGCCAUAAUGACAGAAUCACGCAACAGUGUUUUCUCAGAAUAGUAGCCAUCUUGAUAACUAAAGUGUGCAUGUAUAAAUGUAGGAAUUAGCUCG
rnacentral:lncRNA from 1 species